rnacentral:rRNA from 1 species
AACGAACGCUGGCGGCAGGCUUAACACAUGCAAGUCGAGCGCCCCGCAAGGGGAGCGGCAGACGGGUGAGUAACGCGUGGGAACGUACCCUUUGCUACGGAAUAGCUCCGGGAAACUGGAAUUAAUACCGUAUGUUCCCUACGGGGGAAAGAUUUAUCGGAUCUGGAUGAGCCCGCGUUGGAUUAGCUAGUUGGUGGGGUAAUGGCCUACCAAGGCGACGAUCCAUAGCUGGUCUGAGAGGAUGAUCAGCCACACUGGGACUGAGACACGGCCCAGACUCCUACGGGAGGCAGCAGUGGGGAAUAUUGGACAAUGGGCGAAAGCCUGAUCCAGCCAUGCCGCGUGAGUGAUGAAGGCCUUAGGGUUGUAAAGCUCUUACAGUAGGGAAGAUAAUGACGGUACCUACAGAAGAAGCCCCGGCUAACUUCGUGCCAGCAGCCGCCGUAAAAC